UACAGAGGUCUCAAGCGUUGUUCGGAUUCAUUGGGCGUAAAGGGUGCGUAGGCGGCGCGGUAAGUCGGGUGUGAAAUCUUGGAGCUUAACUCCGAAACUGCAUUCGAUACUGCCGUGCUUGAGGACUGGAGAGGAGACUGGAAUUUACGGUGUAGCGGUGAAAUGCGUAGAUAUCGUAAGGAAGACCAGUGGCGAAGGCGGGUCUCUGGGACAGUUCCUGACGCUGAGGCACGAAGGUCAGGGGAGCAAACGGG
rnacentral:rRNA from 1 species